CUGGUUUGGUUUUUCUCAAGUUCAAAUUUCAUUAUUAAAUGUUAAAGUUUCUUCUACCAACCCUGAUCUCCUGCUAUCAUGGGUCAUUCACCAUUUCCUGACAAUGGGAUUCAUCACAGAUGUUCCUUCAAACAAAUCUGAUAAAACUUCAAGAAGUCCAAAGUAUGUCAGCUUCUUUAAAGUGAUGAAGUCAUCUGCUGAUUCCUUCACAAAACAAAAGCAGGGCGGCCACAUGAGCUCAAAGGAACCGCAAGACACACCUGGCUCCCCUCAAUAUGUCCAAUAGGAAUCCAGAAACCCAAAACUCACAUCACCCAUAUGAGUGAGGCCUGAAGCUACAUUCCUCCUGGCUUUGGGGACGCAUGUUCAACCAUCCACUUCCAAUGAAAGUCCAUGCUGUGUUCUCGCAUUCAUGCAUUACUACACAAGUUUUUAAGACUUUUUGGGCUCUACAAACAAAACGAGUUAAACCAGGGCAAACUUUGACCAAUCAGGGAGUCAGAUUUGGUAACAGAUGGUUUUUCCUUUCAAUUCACAAAUGUGCCAACUGUUUGAAAAUUGAUUAUGGAGGAAAAAUUAAUAAUUGCCGUUUGUGGAAUCACGACGUAAAGUCUUUCAUAUGUUGAAAUAGAGCUGUGAAAGAAAAAAACCUGAUGCAAGAUCCAUUAGAUUUGACCGCUUUGAGAUUUAGCACCAAACCUCCUCUAACUGUAGGUACAGGUAUCGGGGAGCAACAGUCCAAUGGGAACACCGAAUACUGAAUAUGUGUUCAAAAUUGUGCGUCUGGUGUGAAUGCUUUAUUAAAGACUUGUAGUUUUUAUUUAUGUGCUUUUAAUUUGUUAUUUUCGGUCAAGUACUUUAACUUACCUUGUAGUUGAACUGUAGUGAAGAAUCAAAAUAAACUUGCAUUGAUUAUUGGUGACAUAAUUGAGAAUAUGAAAAACUAUACUUUCUUUCUUUUUC